AGUGAACGCUGGCGGUAGGCCUAACACAUGCAAGUCGAACGGCAGCACAGUAAGAGCUUGCUCUUACGGGUGGCGAGUGGCGGACGGGUGAGGAAUACAUCGGAAUCUACUUUUUCGUGGGGGAUAACGUAGGGAAACUUACGCUAAUACCGCAUACGACCUACGGGUGAAAGCAGGGGAUCUUCGGACCUUGCGCGAUUGAAUGAGCCGAUGGCGGAUUAGCUAGUUGGCGGGGUUAAGGCCCACCAAGGCGACGAUCCGUAGCUGGUCUGAGAGGAUGAUCAGCCACACUGGAACUGAGACACGGUCCAGACUCCUACGGGAGGCAGCAGUGGGGAAUAUUGGACAAUGGGCGCAAGCCUGAGCCAGCCAUACCGCGUGGGUGAGGAAGGCCUUCGGGUUGUAAAGCCCUUUUGUUGGGAAAGAAAAGCAGCAGGUUAAUACCCCGCUGUUCUGACGGUACCCAAAGAAUGAGCACCGGCUAACUUCGUG
rnacentral:rRNA from 1 species